UAGAGUUUGAUCCUGGCUCAGAACGAACGCUGGCGGCAGGCCUAACACAUGCAAGUCGAGCGCACCUUCGGGUGAGCGGCGGACGGGUUAGUAACGCGUGGGAACGUGCCCUUUUCUGCGGAAUAGCCACUGGAAACGGUGAGUAAUACCGCAUACGCCCUUCGGGGGAAAGAUUUAUCGGAGAAGGAUCGGCCCGCGUUAGAUUAGGUAGUUGGUGGGGUAAUGGCCUACCAAGCCUACGAUCUAUAGCUGGUUUGAGAGGAUGAUCAGCAACACUGGGACUGAGACACGGCCCAGACCCCUACGGGAGGCAGCAGUGGGGAAUCUUAGACAAUGGGGGCAACCCUGAUCUAGCCAUGCCGCGUGAGUGAUGAAGGCCUUAGGGUCGUAAAGCUCUUUCGCUGGGGAUGAUAAUGACAGUACCCAGUAAAGAAACCCCGGCUAACUCCGUGCCAGCAGCCGCGGUAAUACGGAGGGGGUUAGCGUUGUUCGGAAUUACUGGGCGUAAAGCGCACGUAGGCGGACUGGAAAGUUAGAGGUGAAAUCCCGGGGCUCAACCCCGGAACUGCCUUUAAAACUAUCAGUCUAGAGUUCGAGAGAGGUGAGUGGAAUUCCGAGUGUAGAGGUGAAAUUCGUAGAUAUUCGGA
rnacentral:rRNA from 1 species